GACGAACGCUGGCGGCGUGCUUAACACAUGCAAGUCGAGCGGAAAGGCCCUUCGGGGUACUCGAGCGGCGAACGGGUGAGUAACACGUGAGUAACCUGCCCUGGACUUUGGGAUAACCCUCGGAAACGGGGGCUAAUACCGAAUACGACUUUUCCUCGCAUGAGGUUUGGUGGAAAGUUUUUCGGUCUGGGAUGGCUCGCGGCCUAUCAGCUUGUUGGUGGGGUGAUGGCCUACCAAGGCGACGACGGGUAGCGGUCUGAGAGGACGAUCAGCCGGAUUGGGACUGAGAUACGGCCCAGACUCCUACGGGGGGCAGCAAUUAGGAAUCUUGCACAAUGGGGGCAACCCUGAUGCAGCGACGUCGCGUGGAGGAUUGAAAUCUUUCGGGAUGUAAACUCCUUUUCUCAAGGGAAAGAAAAAAUAGACGGUACCUGAGGAAUAAGCCCCGGCUAACUACGUGCCAGCAGCCGCGGUAA
rnacentral:rRNA from 1 species